GACAGAGGAUGCAAGCGUUAUCCGGAAUGAUUGGGCGUAAAGCGUCUGUAGGUGGCUUUUCAAGUCCGCCGUCAAAUCCCAGGGCUCAACCCUGGACAGGCGGUGGAAACUACCAAGCUAGAGUACGGUAGGGGCAGAGGGAAUUUCCGGUGGAGCGGUGAAAUGCAUUGAGAUCAGAAAGAACACCAACGGCGAAAGCACUCUGUUGGGCCGACACUGACACUAAGAGACGAAAGCUAGGGGAGCAAACGGG
rnacentral:rRNA from 1 species